rnacentral:rRNA from 1 species
CUACCAUGCAGUCGACGGGGAUUCAGAGGAAAGGUACUCGUACCUCGGAAUUUGAAUUCUAGUGGCGGACGGGUGAGUAACACGUGAGCAACCUGCCUUGAUCAGGGGGAUAACAACGGGAAACCGUUGCUAAUACCGCAUAAUAUGCCGUUGGGGCAUCCCAGUGGCAUCAAAGGAGUAAUCCGGAUUGAGAUGGGCUCGCGUCCGAUUAGUUAGUUGGUGAGGUGACGGCUCACCAAGACUGCGAUCGGUAGCCGGACUGAGAGGUUGACCGGCCACAUUGGGACUGAGACACGGCCCAGACUCCUACGGGAGGCAGCAGUGGGGAAUAUUGGGCAAUGGGGGAAACCCUGACCCAGCGACGCCGCGUGAAGGAUGAAGGCCUUCGGGUUGUAAACUUCUUUGAUCGGGGACGAUAAUGACGGUACCCGAGGAACAAGCCACGGCUAACUACGUGCCAGCAGCCGCGGUAAUACGUAGUGCAAGCGUUAUCCGGAUUUACUGGGUGUAAAGGGCGUGUAAGGCGGGUUUUCAAGUCAGAUGUGAAAAAGGCAAGGCUCAACUGUGCUCUGUCAUCGG